rnacentral:rRNA from 1 species
CCUACGGGUGGCAGCAGUGAGGAAUAUUGGUCAAUGGCCGAGAGGCUGAACCAGCCAAGCCGCGUGAGGGAAGACGGCCCUACGGGUUGUAAACCUCUUUUGUCGGGGAGCAAAGAGAGUCACGUGUGACUCAUUGAGAGUACCCGAAGAAAAAGCAUCGGCUAACUCCGUGCCAGCAGCCGCGGUAAUACGGAGGAUGCGAGCGUUAUCCGGAUUUAUUGGGUUUAAAGGGUGCGCAGGCGGAGGUGCAAGUCAGCGGUCAAAUUGCGGGGCUCAACCCCGUACUGCCGUUGAAACUGCAUGCCUUGAGUGCGCGAGAAGUAUGCGGAAUGCGUGGUGUAGCGGUGAAAUGCAUAGAUAUCACGCAGAACUCCGAUUGCGAAGGCAGCAUACCGGCGCGAAACUGACGCUCAUGCACGAAAGCGUGGGUAUCGAACAGGAUUAGAUACCCCUGUAGUC